UACGUAGGGUGCAAGCGUUGUCCGGAAUUAUUGGGCGUAAAGAGCUCGUAGGUGGCCUGUCGCGUCGGCUGUGAAAACUUGGGGCUCAACCCCAAGCCUGCGGUCGAUACGGGCAGGCUCGAGUUCGGUAGGGGAGACUGGAAUUCCUGGUGUAGCGGUGAAAUGCGCAGAUAUCAGGAGGAACACCGGUGGCGAAGGCGGGUCUCUGGGCCGAUACUGACGCUGAGGAGCGAAAGCGUGGGGAGCGAACAGG
rnacentral:rRNA from 1 species